CGUCUUCUCACUGUGACAAUCACAGUGAGAAGCGCGGAAGUGCCUCUAGCGGCUGUCAAUGACAGCCACUAGAGGUGGAUUAACCCUGUUAUAAACAUAGCAGUUUCUCUGAAACUGCUAUGUUUAAAGAAGAAAGGGUUAAUCCUAGCUGGACCUGGCACCCAGACCACUUCAUUAAGCUGAAGUGAUCUGGGUGCCUAUAGUGGUCCUUUAAGAUAUGCUUGGUCUAUGCCAUAUUUCCUUAUGCCAUACGGUUUUAUCCAUUCAGGUUACAGUUACUACUAAGAAACCUAUAUGGAUUGUCAGGUUCAAUACCAUAGUACCAGGUACAUACACCUGCUCACAUAGUUAUCCAUCUGUACCCUUCCCUGGAAUAGUAAUAGCGUACUGGCAAUUAGGGAUUUAAGGCCCAAUAGGUAUUACCCCCUUUUUUCUCAGCAUUAUGCUUUGGUUAGUGGUCCCGCGAGGCCAACACCCU